CAUCAAUACUUGUCAGUGUCGCACUGCUUGCUUGUGUGUAUGUGUGAGUGUGUGUGUGAUCAUGUAUUCGAAAUAACGGACUGAAGUGUAUAGUGUAUAUGUCAAGUUGUAUACUGUCUUGUGUAUAUAUAUAUAUAUAUAUAUAUGCGGUUACCAUCGAACAGCAUACACAUACACACUCACACAUAAAUAUAUAUAUACUUGUAGAUACACAUAUAUGAAUAUAGCUAUAUAUAUAUAUAUAUAUACAUACACCCACCACCACUACUACAUGCACACAGGGAUGUAGAUAAACGAAUUUACACACCCACUCUUUCCAUACACACAGAGAGUAACGCUUGUAUACACAAACACACAGGUUUUCAGUGGAUACUCACAGCCACAGCUGUAAACAGUCUAGAAAGGCGCACGUGGCUGUUAGACAAGAAGACAACCUGUAUGGACCUGUAUCUAUGAGUGUAUAAGAACCACGCGUAUAUUGAUUUGAUUGCAGCCAUGCUGGAGCACCGUACUGAAGAAUUCUUAGUCGAAUGUAUUGACCCCAGGACUUAUGUUUUAAGCCUAGUACAUAUUCUAUCGGUCUCUCAAGCCGAACCACUGAAUCAGUCUGCUAUAAUGAAUCCAUAAACACAUAUAAAACAUUCAAGGGUAUAACUUUUCUCCCCUGAAAAUAUUAUGCUCAGGUCCUAUAAAUAUGAAUUUAAUAUUUGCUUAAAAUUUAUUGAGUAUUAAUUGAAAAAGCUGUAAGUGAAGAUCAUUAAUUUGCUGUUAUAAACUUCCUAAUCUUCAA